AAAGGAAAGGAAAGGAAAGGAAAGGAAAGGAAAGGAAAGGAAAGGAAAGGAAAGGAAAGGAAAGGAAAGGAAAGGAAAGGAAAGGAAAAAGGAGAAAGGGAAUCAACAGUCUCUCUUUUUUUUGUUUUUGUUGUGUUUUUUUUUUUUUAAUCAGGGGACUAGAAAAAACAGCUCCUGGAACUUGGGCGUGUUCCAAACAUGUCUCAGCCUAUUGCAAUAUGGGAAAUAUUACGAAGCGCUUCCUAUUUUAUAGACAUCAGAGUUCUUUAGAAAUAACAGAUAAUGUUUCAGAUGAGGAAAUUGAAAAAUAAAAGUGCUAAGCAAAUUACUGUACAGUGAGACAGCGGAUCGAAAACAAAGCUUUUGGUAUUGUACCAUUUAUGUCAACAAGUGAAUCACUGAGGGUGAAUACACAAUUUAAAUCUGGAAAGUCUAUGCACAAUGUAGCUACCGAUGGCAGCUUUAGUUGCUUUAGUUGCUUCCAAAGUAUAACAUUGAGGGCUUUUCCACAGUUAUAUUAAAUUGUACUACUAGCACAAUAUUAGCAGUUUUCACUUAGCCAUGAUAUUCACUUAUGCUUGUUUUUAUCCAAAGAUCUUUAAGCCCUCACACAGGCAAAUACUAACAGUGACAUUUCAAAGCAUGAAGACAUGGGGAAGUUGGGUUACUUGGGUCAUUGUCAUAUGAUGAGCCCAAAAUAGAAAAAGCAUCUUGCAGAGCUUGUGACUUCUAUCCCAUGCUCCCCUGUUCAGACAUACAGCCCACCUCCUGCGAGGCGCACAGCUAGACGAGCAGUAGUUCUGUUCAUUUAGUGACUGACCCAGACUGACUGACUCAAAACAGGCGUUGAAAUCUCAGCUGUCGGACUCUGAAUCAAUAAAAUGCUGUCCUCUCUCAGUUUCCAUCAGAUUUGCAAGUCACCACCUGAUGUGUAAUGGACUGCUGGCACGGCAGAGGCCACAGGCUGAGAAACACCUGACAGUGACCAUUACUGCAGAUGAGAUGCUGGGUCAGGCAGGACUUUGAUUGGACCAAAAUGGCAAUUCAGAUGUUCUCAAGGCAAUUUGAGAAUGGAAGAAAAACAGGCUUCCAGGCCGUAUGCCAUCAUUUACCAGCAUUGCUCAGCAUCCCGACAGUUCCGUGGGGCCGACUUGUAAGAAAUGUGGAAUAACUGAGAUGAACAACUGAGAUGCUGAAUUCAUUUCACAAAGCAAAAUAUUUGGACUGCUAGAAAAAGAAAAAAAAAAAAAAAAGGAACUGGCGUGGGAGUAAGUGGGGAACUCCAUAUAGAAACAGGAAGUAUCGUGUGGCUGAUAGGAAACGGGCGCAAAGCAUCUGUUUUGGUAGUAUUUUCGCUUGUUUUGGGGGUAUUUCCAUAGUGAACUGGAAAUUGGCCUUGUGUGUAGGUAUUACUUCACUGCUGAGCAAAAGGAAGGCACUAAUUUGGAGCGCAGCACAGCAGCUGUCAGCAUUACUGCACAGCAACACCGCACAACAGCUGAAGGCCACUCGUGCAAAACACAACAUCCCACUGAGGCUGUGGAUGACCGUAGAGCUGCUCUGACCUGCCAUAAAGUGUAAACAGCCCUUUGACUUCUAUAAAAACAGAAAGCUGUCUUCCAGGCUGCCUUUUCUGACUAGGACCACUUCUGCCUCCAGAAAUGCUGGGAUACAGCCCCAUCGACACUACAAAAACUACAAGGCAGCAAGGUGCGAACACGACGAAAGCACUUUGACCCUGUUUGGCAAAGCCUUUACCACACGUGGAUCUGACAGGAGGGAAGCGUAGCUCUCCUGUUUCCGUAAUUGUUAGCUGGUGGCCGGUCUGGAGCACACUCCCAAGCUCUGUGGCGUCAGGGCUGUUUGCUCCUUUGGUUUUGUCACAAGAUUGGGUUUUUUUCUUCACAGAAGUCAAGUCCAAAAAUAUGACAGUUUUCCUUGUGUCAGUGAAGUUCUACUGAGGCAGUAGGUCUUGAGCAAGUUGUUUGUCAGACCUCCGCAGAGCUCUGGGGAG
ensembl:lncRNA